rnacentral:lncRNA from 1 species
GUCAUGCUAGUAGCACCUUACGACGAUAGCCACCUCCGUCACCUGACACACCUUUACCAUCGAGUUGCAGGCAUAGACCCACCAUUAAAGAGUCAUGACUGAUGCACACCUUGCCGCCUAGAUGGCCGAGCAUGUCAAACCCUAAUUGACACCCGCACGCGCCAACUAGUGGGCGUGACACAUGCCAUGGAGCAAUGUGGGUCGUCCUAGUUCCAGGGUUCGCAUGUGGUCACUUUGUUUCCUUCGCUAGCGAUGCAUUUUUUUCCUUUUUAGGUUUUUUGUUUUGCUUUUUCAUUCUCUUUUUUAUGGUUGGGUUCUCUACUAGUUUUUUUUACGUUUUUUUACUUUUUAUAUUUUCAGUACUGUA